rnacentral:rRNA from 1 species
CCUACGGGUGGCAGCAGUGGGGAAUAUUGGACAAUGGGCGAAAGCCUGAUCCAGCCAUGCCGCGUGUGUGAAGAAGGCCUUCGGGUUGUAAAGCACUUUCAGUGGGGAAGAAAGCCUUGGGGCUAAUACCCUCGAGGAAGGACAUCACCCACAGAAGAAGCACCGGCUAACUCCGUGCCAGCAGCCGCGGUAAUACGGAGGGUGCGAGCGUUAAUCGGAAUUACUGGGCGUAAAGCGCGCGUAGGCGGUCUGAUAAGCCGGUUGUGAAAGCCCCGGGCUCAACCUGGGAACGGCAUCCGGAACUGUCAGGCUAGAGUGCAGGAGAGGAAGGUAGAAUUCCCGGUGUAGCGGUGAAAUGCGUAGAGAUUGGGAGGAAUACCAGUGGCGAAGGCGGCCUUCUGGACUGACACUGACGCUGAGGUGCGAAAGCGUGGGUAGCAAACAGGAUUAGAUACCCUGGUAGUC